CAACGCUGGCGGCGUGGAUNAGACAUGCAAGUCGAGCGAGAUUUUUUCCUGUUAGCAAUACAGGGAAAAGUCUAGCGGCGAACGGGUGCUUAACACGUGGGCAAUCUGCCGAGAAGUGGGGGAUAGCUCGCCGAAAGGCGAAUUAAUACCGCAUGUGAUUAGAGUGGACAUCCAUUCAAAAUCAAAGUCGGGGCAACCUGACGCUUCUUGAGGAGCCCGCGGCCUAUCAGCUAGUUGGUGAGGUAACGGCCCACCAAGGCUUUGACGGGUAGCUGGUCUGAGAGGACGACCAGCCACACUGGGACUGAGACACGGCCCAGACACCUACGGGUGGCAGCAGUCGAGAAUUUUUCUCAAUGGGGGAAACCCUGAAGGAGCGACGCCGCGUGGAGGAUGAAGGUCUUCGGGUUGUAAACUCCUGUCAUUUGGGAACAAUGCGCAAAUAUUAACUGUAUUUGCGUUGAUAGUACCAGAAGAGGA
rnacentral:rRNA from 1 species